CCCAUUGGAUGUCUGAAAUUGUGGAUGGUACUGAAUCCUAAAUAUACUAUGUUUUUUCCUAUACAUACAUAACUAUGAUAAAGUUUAACUUAUAAAUUGGGCACAGAAAGAGAUUAAAAACCACAGAAAUAAAAUGUAAC